UGUACUAUAGCUCAAUUUGUUAGAGCAUGUGCUGAUAAUGCCAAGGCUGCAGGUUCAAUCCCAGUCUGGGACAA